rnacentral:rRNA from 1 species
UACGAGGGGGGCAAAUGUUGUUCGGAAUCACUGGGCGUAAAGGGCGCGUAGGCGGCGGGGUAAGUCGGGUGUGAAAUCUCAGGGCUCAACCCUGAAACUGCACUCGAUACUGCUCUGCUUGAGGACUGGAGAGGAGACUGGAAUUCACGGUGUAGCAGUGAAAUGCGUAGAUAUCGUGAGGAAGACCAGUGGCGAAGGCGGGUCUCUGGACAGUUCCUGACGCUGAGGCGCGAAGGCCAGGGGAGCAAACGGG